GAGGUCGUGGCUGGAGGUCGUGGCUGGAGGUCGUGGCUGGAGGUCGUGGCUGGAGGACGUGUCUGGAGGACGUGGCUGGAGGUCGUGGCUGGAGGUCGUGGCUGGAGGACGUGGCUGAAAGAUGCAGUAGAAACAGCAGGGAAUAACACUGACGCACUGAAGUCUGAGAAGUAACGGGACCAAAGACUGUGACAAAAACAAUUCAUGGAGUGAGAAAGGACUGUUCAACGUUGAUCUGACCAAUCGGAAUCUAUGCUUCAAGAUUGUUUUUAUCACGCAGACUGGGAGAUGUUCUGGGUCGCCUCUGAAAAUAGUAUCGAUGUAUACACUGACUCGGCGACUGGGUUCAUCGGGAAGUGCAUAGAGGAUGUUGUACCCACUGUGACGAUUAGAAUUUAUCCAAAUCAAAAACUGUGGAUAGAUGGCAGCAUUAGCACAGAACUAAGAGCCACAUUUAACCAUGGCAAGGUGACGGAACAUGGACGUUUAGAAACAGACCAGCUACGACCUCCGUAAAGGCAAUCAAAAAGGCAGAAUGAGAGUACAGGGACAAAGCGGAGUCGGGAAUUCAUCGGCUCGGACACGAGAUGUAUGUGGCAGGAACUCCAGACAAUCACAGAUUAUAAAGGGAAAGCCAGCCACGUCACAGACCCCGACACCUCGCUCCCAGACGAGCUAAACACCUUCUUCGCCCACUUCAAGGAAAACAAUAUCAAGCCACCGACACGGGCCCCCCUGCCACUCACGAGGACUGUGUGCUCUCGCUGCCGGCCCAGACAGCAUCCCAAGCCGCGUCCUCAGAGCAUGUGCAGACCAGCUGGCUGGAGUGUUUACAGACAUAUUCAAUCUCUCCCUAUACCAGUCUGCUGUCCCCACUUGCUUCAAGAUGUCAACCAAUUUUCCUGUACCAAAGAAAGCUAAGGUCACUGAACUAAAUGACUCCCGCCCCAUAGCACUCACUUCUGUCAUCAUGAAGUGCUUUGAGAGACUAGUCAAGGACCAUAUCACCUCCACCUUACCAGACACCCUAGACCCACUACAAUUCACAUAAUCGCCCACUACAAUUCACAUAACCGUCUCAACAGAUCCACGGACGACGCAAUCGCCAUUCCACUGCAGACUGCCCUUUCCCAUCUGGACAAGAUAAAUACUUACGUAAGAAUGCUGUUCAUCGACUUCAUCCCCCGAGUUCCACCACAACGCAUCACCGGGGGGCACACUACCUGCCCUCCAGGACAUCUACAGCACCCAGUGUCACAGGAAGGCCAAGAAGAUCAUCAAGGACCUCAGCCACCUGAUCCACGGCCUGUUCACCCCGCUACCAUCUAGAAGAUCAUCAAGGACCUCAGCCUCCUGAGCCACGGCCUGUUCACCCCGCUACCAUCUAGAAGAUCAUCAAGGACCUCAGCCACCUGAGCCACGGCCUGUUCACCCCGCUACCAUCUAGAAGGAGGAGACAGUACAGGUGCGUGAAAGCUGGGACAGAGACACUGAUUAAUAGCGCCUAUCUCCAGGGCAUCAGACUGUUAAGUAGUCACCAC
rnacentral:lncRNA from 1 species